rnacentral:rRNA from 1 species
GACGAACGCUGGCGGCGCGCCUAACACAUGCAAGUCGAACGAGCGAGAGAGAGCUUGCUUUCUCGAGCGAGUGGCGAACGGGUGAGUAACGCGUGAGGAACCUGCCUCAAAGAGGGGGACAACAGUUGGAAACGACUGCUAAUACCGCAUAAGCCCACGGUGCCGCAUGGCACAGAGGGAAAAGGAGUAAUCCGCUUUGAGAUGGCCUCGCGUCCGAUUAGCUAGUUGGUGAGGUAACGGCCCACCAAGGCGACGAUCGGUAGCCGGACUGAGAGGUUGAACGGCCACAUUGGGACUGAGACACGGCCCAGACUCCUACGGGAGGCAGCAGUGGGGAAUAUUGCACAAUGGGGGAAACCCUGAUGCAGCGACGCCGCGUGGAGGAAGAAGGUCUUCGGAUUGUAAACUCCUGUUGUUGGGGAAGAUAAUGACGGUACC